rnacentral:rRNA from 1 species
UACAGAGGGUGCAAGCGUUAAUCGGAAUUACUGGGCGUAAAGCGUGCGUAGGCGGUUCGCUGUGUCCGAUGUGAAAGCCCCGGGCUUAACCUGGGAAUGGCAUUGGAAACUGGCGGGCUUGAGUGCGGCAGAGGGGGGUGGAAUUCCGCGUGUAGCAGUGAAAUGCGUAGAGAUGCGGAGGAACACCGAUGGCGAAGGCAGCCCCCUGGGUCGACACUGACGCUCAGGCACGAAAGCGUGGGGAGCAAACAGG